UUUUCUACGAUCGUAACUUCUGACCGAAUUCGAAUUAUUUUACUACCGUUCGUGGCGUCAUCUGAAAGAGCGUUCUUUUGUUUUCAAAAAGAGUCGCGAGGAGCGCUCUAAGAGUUUCCAGUGCUAUGCAACAAUAUGGCGCGCGAGAAGCGUCGUUUGCGUCACCGCUUACUUUUCACGUUCCAUCAUAGAAAAUCGGUUGUUAAAGCUAUUGAAACGGUUUACGUUCCAUUGGGAGAGAACGUAUCUUAGGGAACGUAUGAAAAGUGGUACCAAAGAUUUAAAGCCGGAAAUUUUAAUUUGGAAGACGAUAAUCAGGUUCAGGCGCAUCGAGAAAGUUCGACGACGGUGAAUCAGAGGAAUCGCUCGACGAAAAUCCAAUCCAGACGCGAGAAGAAUCGGUAGAAGUGAUCAGACUGAAACAAUUGGGUAAUCUUGUACUUGAUUUGUAUAUUAAAAUCUUGAAUUUGGAAAAAAAAAGGAAGAAUUUAUUCGCAUACAUACAUAUAUAAUUUGCCUCCCACGGCGAUUUCUCUUGUCGAGUCGUCCUCGCGUGGCACGCGUGCGCGCAGAUAAGAACGAUUAUAUAGGCACGCUCGUUAUUCCGAGCAACCGGCUCACGCUCGAAUAAUAAUAGCGCGGUGAAACGACAAACGUCUUAUCGCUCAAGCGUUUAAAUAUAAACGCCCUUGCUUCCUCGAUCUCUCCAAUUAAUCGAGCGGAUUGUUGAACGCGUUAAUGCGUGGCCGUGUACUUUCUGCUACUGAAACUAAUCACGCCGGAUACGUCCGAUUUAAAUUGCAUGCAACGGUUCUCAACUUGCAAAUCGUGAAAUUAAUGCAUAUAUGUAUGUAUUUGGUAUAACACGAAAGGCGAUUUUUCUUAGUAUCGUGAGAGAGAUAUUGUCGUCGAUUCGUUUCCCGAGAAUGGCCGACUUGCAACGCAUUUCAAAAACAGUGACAUUAUUGUCGGCAAGAAGGGAGUGGUGUGGUGUGAGGGGAAGAAUGGUCAAUUGAAAAUGUGAAGAAGAAGAAGAAGAAGAAGAAGAAUAAAGUUUUUUUCCGUUGACACUUCGUUUCCGAGAGAAUUGAAUUGAAAAGCGAGCCGGUGUCCGACCGAUCGUUGGCUCGUUCCACUCGUAUGUCCGAUUAAUCGUUGAUCACGGCAUAGUUUCGAAAAAUAUUGAAAAACGUCAUAUGUGUACGAGACACAACAGAGAGAGAGAGAGAGAAAGAGGAAGAGAGAUUAAACAGGAAAACGGGCAGUUUGCUCCACCAGUGACUCGUUUUUUCGUGCAAUUCUUAUUCCAUCCCAAACGAAUCCGUUUUUGCUCCGUCGCCUUUCAUUUUUUUCAACGCCACCUCGCGGGAUGAAAAAUUCGAGAUCGAGGGGAACCAUCUUGGGAUUGAAAUGGGCGCCGCCAUUACCGAUUGGAAGUAUGGAAGGUCGAAUGUUCGCGCCUAAAAUAACGUAUCCUUUCUAAAAGAAAUAAGAAAAAGAGAGCUCGAUGAUGGAGGGGAGGUGAGGAGAGAUCGAAAGUUGGACGGUUGGAGGACAACAGUGCGUUUAAAUAGAGCGAGAAUCGUCUGGGGAAAUAUGGCGCGUGAUGGAAAGCUUGGUAUUUUGAAUUAGAGAGGGGGAUUUAUUCUUUAGAAAAUUCUACGUGAAUGAUAGUGGAUCUGGAGUUUCUUUUCGAAUUUCUUUUCCACGACGAAUAAUCUCUUCCCAGUCUUUCGAAAAUUCGAUAUUCAGAAUACGUCACGUCUUCGAUUGCCGAUAUUUCUGUAAUUUCAUUCGCACAGCCUUUUGUCCCUCUUCUUUCAAUCGUUCCUGGCUCACGCGUUUUCACGUUUCAAGUUGAUAUAUGUAUAAAUAUGUUAUAUCGUAUACUCGUGUUAGAUGUUCGUCGAUCUCAUCGAAUCGAAAUAUUGAAAGACGAUCGAUACUUCGGCGAGCAAUGUUUAACUGUGAUAUUUUUGUUAAUAUCAAAUAAUUAUAUAUCGCUUAUAUAUCACUAAAAUAAAAAAUAAAACAUGAAAAAAAGAAAUGUUUUAAAAUAUCGCUUCGGUAAUAUAAUUUAAAAUUAGAACGUAUAUUUUUCUUAUCACUGAUUAUAAAAUGCAUCCUGUUUUGUCCUGGUACAAGAUAAAAGUUUAAAAUCUCAUUUUGAUCCUCUUUCCAAAGUAUAUUUUCGUCAACUUUCUCUAAUAUGCUUUCUAUUUUUUCCAGCUUCUCGAGAAAAAGGCGCAUUCAACGAAAUGUUGACGAAUAUAGCGACGAAGUUUCAGUAUAAAUUUUGGAUUUCUGUUAUAACAACUUAACGAUCGGCUGUGCCAAAAGAGGGAAGAAACAUGGAGGAUCUCGACGAGGGAGAAAAAGUUAAUCAGUCUUCCUUUUCUUCUAUCCAAGAGCGCGGUGACAAUCGAAGAUUAAUCGAACUGGUGGUAGAAGAGAAAGAAAGUGGAUCAGAAUGUUGCGUGAUAAACACGAGCCUUUCGAAAGCCUUUUCUCGAACGAGAGGGAAAAAACAUUUCCAUCCGCUGUUGAGAAAGCACAUAACGAAUAACGAGAAAAUAAGCGAGAAUUAAUUAAAGAGAAGAUGAUGGAAGGCGAGAGAUAAAAACUAGGAUAACAGAGAGAUAAGAAAAAAUGAGUAAAGCAGAUAGGAAGCGAAAAAUCGAGGGGGGGGGGAAUUCAUCCUUGCCUUUCAUUCCUUAUCUCGCGGAAAAUAAAGGGGUCAGUCUGUUUGCUCGAGAAAGCGUGUAUACACGCCACGGUUACAGAGUGAAAAAAUUACGUAUCCAACUCGAGGCAGAGGAAAUAAAAAUGGAAAAGAAGGAACCAUUACUAACUAAGGAAAGAUUCGUGAAAACUGAUCGAACGGUUGAUCAAAGAAGAAGAAAGAGAGAGAACAGGUGCAGGUCGCGAUAAACGGUAUUCGUUAAACGAGGCUACGCCCCGAGUUAAUUGCUUAAGUGUCGGAAUCGGUUUACGUAGAGUCGAGAAGCGCUAUCUAGAAAUUCCAACGCAGCCUUGUCCGAAAGACGACCGCCAGGAUACAUCGCGUGGAAUAAUCGAAAACGAUCCAUCUACAUCAGUAGAUUACCCCGUGUAUACCUUGUUCCACCGUGUAUAACACGGAUACCGAGAUUACAUUUGUUCGUUUCGAAGACGCAGAGCGGACGUUUGUGAAACGUUAAAGGCGAUUUUGCGCGCGUGAGGUGGUGAAAGUAGUAGCGUGGAAAGUGGAAGUUUUUUCACGGGUGCAGGUUUGAUUUUUAAUUUCCAUCGAACGUGACAAUGGUAGUUCGUUAGUUGUUGAUUAUUGCUUGAUUAAAUCGCGUGUCUUUUAAAUCUGAGAAAUUAUUUAUUAUUUUGUUAAGGAAAAUACGUGUCUACGAUUAUUCUAUUUCAUGUUAUUUGUGUGGAAAAUGUUUCUUUUACACGUAUACUCGU
rnacentral:lncRNA from 1 species